CAGUCGUACCUUCGGGUAAUCAGCCUUUUGGGUGUGAUUUUGUGGAGCGUGAGGAGUUAAACGCCUUCAUGCCUGCAUAUUCGUGCACUUUGGGUGUACUUGCCCGUGUGUAAGUUAACAUCAAUUUUGGUGGUCAUAAAAUGGCUGGAGGAAUGUAGCUUCGAUCUUGUAUUGAAGUGUUAUAGCCUUUGGUAGACGUGAUGAUUGGGGAUUGGAGGAUUGCAACGGGAUACCCCUUCGGGCUACCUGUCUGAUCUCUGAUCGUUGCUCUGGUGCCGAAAG
rnacentral:rRNA from 1 species